CAGCAGCCGCGGUAAUACAGAGGGUGCAAGCGUUAAUCGGAAUUACUGGGCGUAAAGCGCGCGUAGGUGGUUUGUUAAGUUGGAUGUGAAAGCCCCGGGCUCAACCUGGGAACUGCAUCCAAAACUGGCAAGCUAGAGUACGGUAGAGGGUGGUGGAAUUUCCUGUGUAGCGGUGAAAUGCGUAGAUAUAGGAAGGAACACCAGUGGCGAAGGCGACCACCUGGACUGAUACUGACACUGAGGUGCGAAAGCGUGGGGAGCAAACAGGAUUAGAGACCCGCGUAGUCCCUGUCUCUUAUAC
rnacentral:rRNA from 1 species